UACGUAGGGGGCAAGCGUUGUCCGGAAUCAUUGGGCGUAAAGAGCGCGUAGGCGGCCCUGUAAGUCCGCUGUGAAAGUCAAGGGCUCAACCCUUGGAUGCCGGUGGAUACUGCAGGGCUAGAGUCCGGAAGAGGCGAGUGGAAUUCCUGGUGUAGCGGUGGAAUGCGCAGAUAUCAGGAGGAACACCUGUGGUGUAGACAGCUUGCUGGACCAUCACUGACGCUGAGGCACGAAAGCGUGGGUAGCAAACAGG
rnacentral:rRNA from 1 species